rnacentral:rRNA from 1 species
CAGUAGCCGCGGUAAUACGUAGGGGCAAGCGUUAUCCGGAAUUACUGGGUGUAAAGGGAGCGUGGACGGUUAAACAAGUCUGAAGUGAAAUGCCGGGGCUCAACCCCGGAGCUGCUUUGGGAACUGUAGAACUGGAGUGUCGGAGGGGUAAGCGGAAUUCCCAGUGUAGCGGUGAAAUGCGUAGAUAUUGGGAGGAACACCGGCGGCGAAGGCGGCUUACUGGACGACAACUGACGUUGAGGCUCGAAGGCGUGGGUAGCAAACAGGAUUAGAUACCCCAGUAGUCCCUGUCUCUUAUACA